UACGUAGGGGGCGAGCGUUGUCCGGAAUCAUUGGGCGUAAAGAGCGCGUAGGCGGCUUGGUAAGUCGGACGUGAAAACCCGAGGCUCAACCUCGGGCGUGCAUCCGAUACUGCCCGGCUAGAGGUAGGUAGGGGAGAUCGGAAGUUCCUGGUGUGAGCGGUGAAAUGACGCAGAUAUCGUAAGGAAGACCAGUGGCGAAGGCGGGUCGUCUGGACAGUUCCUGACGCUGAGGCACGAAGGUCAGGGGAGCGAAACGGGGAGUUAGAA
rnacentral:rRNA from 1 species